rnacentral:rRNA from 1 species
ACCUUUGCAAUAGGCGAAAGCCUGACAGGGUUAUUCUGAGUGACUUUCGCUAAGAAAGUCUUUUGACACCUUUAAAAAUGGUGUAGAAUAAGGGGUGGGCAAGUCUGGUGUCAGCCGCCGCGGUAAUACCAGCACCCCGAGUGGUCGGGACGAUUAUUGGGCCUAAAGCAUCCGUAGCCGGUUUUACAAGUCCUCCGUUAUAUCCAACUGCUUAACAGAUGGGCCGCGGAGGAUACUAUAAGACUAGGAGGCAGGAGAGGCAAGCGGUACUCAGUGGGUAGGGGUAAAAUCCGUUGAUCCAUUGAAGACCACCAGUGGCGAAGGCGGCUUGCCAGAAUGCGCUCGACGGUGAGGGAUGAAAGCUGGGGGAGCAAACCGGAUUAGAUACCCGGGUAGUCCCAGCUGUAAACGAUGCAGACUCGGUGAUGGACUAGCUUUAUGCUAGUCCAGUGCCGCAGGGAAGCCGUUAAGUCUGCCGCCUGGGUAGUACGGUCGCAAGACUGAAACUUAA